UACGGAGGGUGCAAGCGUUGUUCGGAAUUACUGGGCGUAAAGCGCGCGUAGGCGGCUCUUUAAGUCAUUUGUGAAAGUCCACGGCUCAACUGUGGAAGUGCAUGUGAAACUGGAGAGCUUGAGUACUGGAGGGGGUGGUGGAAUUCCCGGUGUAGAGGUGAAAUUCGUAGAUAUCGGGAGGAAUACCGGUGGCGAAGGCGACCACCUGGCCAGAUACUGACGCUGAGGUG
rnacentral:rRNA from 1 species